rnacentral:misc_RNA from 1 species
GCCAGUGCCACCUACCCUCAUCACUUCCUUCCCAGUGAAGUUCAAAUUUGGAAGACUCUCAGUUUUUUUUUCUGACAUACCCAUGUCUGUACCUUCAUUUUUUUCAAAAACACAUAAUGACACUGGCCAAACCCAUUUUUCUUUGUCACUAUCUUCAAUAGAUUAGACCCCACAUUCUGCUAAACAACCCUAUUAAAAAGCCCUUCUCCUUGCUCCUCAGCACACACAUUCACUUGCAUCCUCUAGCUAAAUCAUCUCUCUGUAGUCUCUCUCUCGCUCUCUCUCUAUUAUUGUUUAUUCUCUUUGAUCUUCAGGAAUAUGGCUCAGGGAAGAGGCAGUGCAAUGGUGGCCAUGGUGUUCCUGUGGUUGUUGCUGCUCCAUUUUGAGAUGGGUAGUGCAGCAACUUACACUGUUGGAGGUUCUAGUGGUUGGACCUUCAAUGUUUCUGGCUGGCCUAAAGGAAAACGCUUUAGAGCUGGUGAUAUAAUUGUGUUCAACUAUAGUCCUUCAGCACACAAUGUGGUGGCAGUGGACAGGGUUGGAUACAAUUCAUGCAAAGCUCCAAAAGGUGCAAAAGUUUAUACAUCAGGGAAGGAUAGGAUCAAGCUUGUGAAGGGGCAAAACUUCUUCCUCUGCAGCUUUGCUGGGCACUGUCAGGCUGGAAUGAAAAUAGCCAUAACUGCCGUGUGAUUUAGCUGGAUAAUUAAUUAAGAUUUAGAUAUGGGAUUUUUAAUGUACUGUUAGGUUUUGGUGUUAAAAAUGUCACUGCUCUAAGUGUCUGUGCGGUGGUGUGGCUUGCUUUUGUGGGUGGGUUGGUGGCUAGCUAUGUACAUAGGCUAGGCUGCCCAAUAAAAUAUGCAAUAAUUAUUAUGAAAUAAAUAGGGGGAAAAAGAAAAGUUUGGGAAUAUGUUGACUUCUUCUUCAUGGGAUUUUGUUCUUGUUUCAAAUGAAGUAUUAAUUUACAAGCUAAAAAAAGAUAUAUUAAUUGUGAUUA